GUGCUCAUUCAGCAGCACAUAUACUAAAAUUGGAAUGAUACAGAGAUUAGCAUGGCCCUGGUGUAAGGAUGACACACAAAUUCACGACACAUUCCAUAUAUUU
rnacentral:snRNA from 1 species